rnacentral:rRNA from 1 species
AUGGUUGUUCAGAUUUGGUACACCAAUCUGAGCCUUUUGUUUGGCAGGCUGCGCGUCCUUUAUGAAAACACGUUUAGUAUUUGGAUUCUGCAGCACGUGCUGGAAAUGUUGUUGCAGAGGCUGACCCUUGUUCUCGGGAUAGAUGAGAGAAUGUUACCAGUUGUCAAAGAUGCAGCUUCACUGGCUAUGUUAGAUCUCGCCAGUUCCAUCGUUACAGAGUUUACUUCACUUGCUGGAAUUAUGGCACGCCAUUGUGCUUGGAAGGACGGUCUUCCAGAACAGAUUGCACAAGCACUGUUUGAGGUAUCACAAACAGCAGCUAAAGUGAGAAAUCAUAUCGUUCAAGUUUAA